CGGCAGCCUGUAUGCCCUUGCGGCACAUUGCUGUCACCCACAGGACAAAACAUACUCAGAAGACUUUAUUUGCCAUGACAUGUAAACAUGUUUGGAAUUUGUUUUGGUACAGUGGAGUUUACAAGAGGACAGGACAAGACAGUGCAAAACCAACAUAAAUAGUGCAAAAUGAACAAAACUGAAGACCAGGAACUGUAACCUGGGAACCUGGAAGAUGAUGUUGUCCUGAAGGACACAAUUCAGGCAGCAGCAUGGUGCCAGUUACAGUCUUUCAAGGACAGCGUUUCUCUCCCAGAGGUCAUUGGGAUGGAAGGUUGGG